UACGUAGGUCCCGAGCGUUGUCCGGAUUUAUUGGGCGUAAAGCGAGCGCAGGCGGUUUGAUAAGUCUGAAGUUAAAGGCUGUGGCUCAACCAUAGUUCGCUUUGGAAACUGUCAAACUUGAGUGCAGAAGGGGAGAGUGGAAUUCCAUGUGUAGCGGUGAAAUGCGUAGAUAUAUGGAGGAACACCGGUGGCGAAAGCGGCUCUCUGGUCUGUAACUGACGCUGAGGCUCGAAAGCGUGGGGAGCGAA
rnacentral:rRNA from 2 species